CGAGCGGCGGACGGGUGAGUAACACGUGAGCAAUCUGUCCGAGUGCGGGGGAUAACCCGGGGAAACCCGGGCUAAUACCGCAUGGUCGGUUUCCAGGGUCUGGGAGCCGGGAAAGGUGGCCUCUUUGCAAUGCUACCGCGCUAUGAGGAGCUCGCGGGCUAUCAGCUAGUUGGCAGGGUCACGGCCUACCAAGGCGACGACGGCUACGGGGUCUGAGAGGACGACCCCGCACAUUGGAACUGAGACACGGUCCAGACUCCUACGGGAGGCAGUAGUGGGGAAUUUUGGGCAAUGGCCGAAAGGCUGACCCAGCGACGCCGCGUGCGGGAGGACGCCCUUCGGGGUGUAAACCGCUGUCAGAGGGGACGAAAGACUCCGUUCCGAACAGGGCGGAGCGUGACGGUACCCUCAGAGGAAGCGCCGGCUAACUCUGUGCCAGCAGCCGCGGUAAGACAGAGGGCGCAAGCGUUGUUCGGAAUCACUGGGCGUAAAGCGCGCGCAGGCGGACCUGUGCGUCUGGAGUGAAAUCCCGCCGCUCAACGGCGGGGCUGCUUGGGAAACGGCAGGUCUGGGGACCGGUAGAGGCCGGUGGAAUUGCUGGUGUAGCCGGUGGAAUGCGUAGAGAUCAGCAAGAACACCCGUGGCGAAGGCGGCCGGCUGGGCCGGAUCCGACGCUGAGGCGCGAAAGCGUGGGGAGCAAACAGGAUUAGAUACCCUGGUAGUCCACGCCGUAAACGAUGGGCACUAGGUGCCGGGGGGAGCGACCCCUUCGGUGCCGC
rnacentral:rRNA from 1 species